rnacentral:rRNA from 1 species
UGGGGAAUAUUGCACAAUGGGCGCAAGCCUGAUGCAGCCAUGCCGCGUGUAUGAAUAAGGCCUUCGGGUUGUAAAGUACUUUCAGCGGGGAGGAAGGGAGUAAAGUUAAUACCUUUGCUCAUUGACGUUACCCGCAGAAGAAGCACCGGCUAACUCCGUGCCAGCAGCCGCGGUAAUACGGAGGGUGCAAGCGUUAAUCGGAAUUACUGGGCGUAAAGCGCACGCAGGCGGUUUGUUAAGUCAGAUGUGAAAUCCCCGGGCUCAACCUAGGAACUGCAUCUGAUACUGGCAAGCUUGAGUCUCGUAGAGGGGGGUAGAAUUCCAGGUGUAGCGGUGAAAUGCGUAGAGAUCUGGAGGAAUACCGGUGGCGAAGGCGGCCCCCUGGACGAAGACUGACGCUCAGGUGCGAAAGCGUGGGGAGCAAACAGG